CUCAAAUUCUAGACGGUUAAACUCAAUUUAGCCCUAAUUUCCUCCUUUUGUAUUUACUCUGAUCAAACAGAGAGACAGAAGAUGCAUAAAAGGAACGAAAUCUGUAGAAACUUUCAGAGUGGCAGCUGUCGAUAUGGUGACCGCUGCAAGUUUCUUCAUGCGACGCCGAACCAGCAACAGCCAAAAGCUAAUGCCUUUGGAUUUGGUCAACCUCAGCAACAGCAACAGCAACAGCAGCGGCAGAAUCCCAAUCCUUUUGGGUUUGGUGUUCAGAAUAGUUCUCAGUCAAGAGGGGCCACCAAUUUUGGGAAUAAACAGACCCAAGUCAAGCCAUUUCAAAAUAAAUGGAUCCGUGACGACCCUCGAUCACAACAACAAGCUGAGAAGAAGCCCGAGGCCCCGGAUCAUAAGUGCACAGAUCCUGACUCAUGCAAGCGGAUAAUUGUUGAAGAUCUUGAGCGUGAGAGACCACUCUGGAAUCUUACAUGCUACAGCCACAGGAAGAACGGUCCUUGUGAUAUUUCUGGAGAUAUUAGCAUCGAAGAAUUUAGGUCAGCGGCAUACAACGAUGCCAAGAAUGGGUUGAAUUUGCAGUCAAUUGUUGAGAGAGAGAGGAAUUUACUCACUUCCAAGUUAAGUGAGUUUGAGAGCCUUCGUUGUAACCCAUAUGUAGUAGUGCCCCAGAUCUCUGAUCGUGGCAGCCAGGGUCCAUUUCAUGGGACCAGUUUAAAUGCAUUUUCUCCAUCUGCUCAAAAUACUCCUUCAGUUUCCAAUUUCGGUCAGCUUGGUGCAUCACUUAACGCGGGGUUUGGAACACGGCCACCUUCACCAUCAAACAAUGCCUUUGGGCAGCAAAGUUCCUUUCCAAACUCCAGCCAGACUUCUGGCGCAUUUGGAACAAAUAGUUUUCGUUUUGGAACAGCUGGUUCAUUUGGCAGCAACCUUCCUGCCCAUACGUUUGGAAGUUCAUUGACCGCCAAUGUUGCAGGCUUCAGCAACAACAGUUCAGUUAAUGGCCAGGGUAACCUGUUUUCUGUUUCAAAAGUGUCGGAGAAUCCUAACGAGCACAUCAAUUCAGGCGGCCCUAACUCAGCUUCUAAUGUGGUCAGCCUGGCAACUACAGACAUUCAAUCCAUGUCAUAUCUUGAUUCUUUGAUCCUUGAGGACCUUCAGUUCUUAAUUAAUUGCUCCUAUUUGCCACUUUGUUGGUAGAUCAGUCUCAUCGGUGUAAGAAUUAGAAAAUCCUCAUCUCAAGGAACAAAUUGCAGACAGAGAUUGUUUCUGGGGACACUGGUAUUUGGUUGAAAGAAAAAUGGAAUCCUGGAGAGAUUCCAGAAGAUGCUCCUCCGCAGGCAUUUAUUUCUUAGUAGUACCUUGGCAGUCACAUAUACUAAACAGAAAAAGGCGCACUACUUUGUCAUUUGCGACAUUGAUGAGCAUUCUUAAUCAAAAGGAGAGCACAAAGGUUGGAACUGGGAUUCCACAAGGUCAAGAAGAAUGCUAAUCUGUGCUGUGUCAAGAUCUACACUUUGUUUUGGAUUGUUUAGGCAUUUUACUGAACUGAAGCCUGUCUGUUUACUAGUAUUCGCCAAUUUUACUUGGAAAAGUGAGUAAACAACUCUUCAUGUGGUUACUUUCUGUUAACUAAUUGUGGGUAACAACAAAAGAAUAUUUUUGAUUGCAGAGGGAGGAAACGUCAUCGACUACUUCUUGAUGUCAA